rnacentral:rRNA from 1 species
CUUGGUCAUUUAGAGGAAGUAAAAGUCGUAACAAGGUUUCCGUAGGUGAACCUGCGGAAGGAUCAUUAACACGUAUCCACGUAUCAACCCCUCUGUGCAAACUCAUCUCUCGAAGGCUGUGGUUGGAGUGUGAUUGUUCGCAUGGGUCCUAAUGAUGGGAGCCUUCUUCUGGAGGGCUCAGGGCUCGAGCAUUCACGCGUUUGACAAUCUGCCGCUACUUUUCCAUCAUUGGCCCCCUUUUAUCACUUUUAACCCCUUGUACUUCUUUGUACUGAACCAAUUCUUCGAUGCUCUCUUCUGGAGAGUGACGAAAGAUAUUACGAAACUUAAGAACAACUCUUAGCAACGGAUAUCUUGGUUCCCGCAACGAUGAAGAACGCAGCGAAAUGCGAUACGUAAUGCGAAUUGCAGAAUUCAGUGAAUCAUCAAAUCUUUGAACGCAAAUUGCACUCUCGGGUAUCCCUGGGAGUACGCUUCUUUCAGUAUCGGUUCUAUCUAAACUCGCCUGCGUUUUGAUUUCGAUCAAGGCUAAAGGCGGAAAUUGAGCGUCAUGCUUGAACGAGCGUGUUGCUUGAAGGGUAGAAGCGGUAGUCUUCCCUUUUCUCGUUCACGAGAACUCUGAGUGCGCCGUUCUCUCUUCUCGAAGGAGCUGGAGCAAACUGAGUGACGUGGUUAAGUUCGCCUCCGUGCGAC